AUGAACCUGCAAUGGAUGUACGGUUCAAGACACACCUCCGAGUACAUUAAGGGCGUGCAUGAUUUUCUCAAAGUGGCUGAGGCAAACAAGCAGAAUGGUUUUAUGUGUUGUCCAUGCCCUAUAUGUGGGAAUACGAAGUCUUACUCUGACCAGAAAAUCCUCCACACCCACCUGGGUUUGAUGCCACACUAUAAUGUUUGGACGAGGCACGGAGAAAUAGGGGUUAUGAUGGAAGACGGCGAAGAAGAAGAGUACGAUGACAACUAUGUGCCCCCUGAAUACGGUGAUGCUACUGAACAUCAAGAGAAACCAGACGAUGUGCACGAUGAUGCUGCAACGGGCGAAGCUGCUGAAGAUCAAGAGGAACCAGACGAUGUGCCCGAUGAUGAUGAUCUCCGCCGGGUCAUUGUCAAUGUAAGGACGCAAUGCGAAAGUCAAAAGGAGAACCUGAAGUUCGAUCGCAUGUUAGAGGACCACAAAAAAGGGUUGUACCCCAAUUGCGAAGAUGGCAACACAAAGCUCGGUACCGUACUGUAA
rnacentral:rRNA from 1 species